CGGCGGGCAAGGGGUGUCAACUGCCCACGCCCAGGCUUCUCGUCCGACCGGAGUUCGGGAUACGCCUGGCUCUUAUCCGUUCACACAAGGGCGUGGAAGGGAGGUACGAGGUCCUGGCAGCGCAGCAUCGCCUGAUGAAGCUCGACGACUAUGGUAGAUUCAGACUGGUCCAGGCUUCCAAAUUUGUCGAGGCGAAACCCAACGACCCUACCUGGUUAUACUGUCAAAGGAUUAGAAGAUUUGAAGCCUGCCUCGACUUCAAGUUCUCACUUUUUUCCAUGGCUUCCUUCCCGCUCGUUUACUGGUGCUGUCACGACAAGGACAACAAGACAGUCGCUUAGUGAUUCAUCACCCGAGACCCAGUAUCAAAAACUUUGGACAAUGUGCGGACAGUGAUUUAUGUCUCAAAGUAUUGGACCUUAUGCCAGCUUAAUUAUGUUGUGAGCUGAGCACUAUCGUAGUCGUACCUGUUUUGUGCUAGCUAUUUCGACCUUAUGCCAGCUUAAUUAUGUGGUGAUCUCACGA